rnacentral:tRNA from 1 species
GGGCUUGUGGCUCAGUUUGGCUAGAGCGUUCGGCUGAUAACCGAAAGAUCGAGAGUUCGAAUCUCUCCAGGCCCACCA